rnacentral:rRNA from 1 species
GCAAGAUACCACGGGCGCACGGCGGAUGCCUUGGCACAGGGAGCCGAUGAAGGACGCGGCAAGCUGCGAUAAUCCCCGGCGAGGAGCACACAUCCUUCGACCCGGGGGUCUCCGAAUGGGCGAACCCAUGCACAGCAGUGUGCAUAUCCCCACCCCGAACGCAUAGGGGCGGGGAGGACAACCCGGGGAACUGAAACAUCUAAGUACCCGGAGGAGAGGAAAUCAAUCUCGAGACUCCCCGAGUAGCGGCGAGCGAAAGGGGACCGAUGGCCAAACCGUCGAGCGGGCAUACCCGGCAGGGGUUCCGCCGGCGGGGUUGCAGGGCCGCGCAUCCGGGGGCUGCCGCCCCCGGGCGCAGGUCCGGCUGGGGAGCGGAACGGCAUGGGAGGGCCGGCCGCAGCGGGUGACAGCCCCGUACGCGAACCCAGACCGGACGGCGCGACGCGGUCCCUGAGUAGGGCCGGGCACGUGAAACCCGGUCCGAACCUGGGUGGACCACCAUCCAAGCCUGAGUACUACCCUGUGACCGAUAGCGCACCAGUACCGUGAGGGAAAGGUGAAAAGCACCCCGGGAGGGGAGUGAAACAGUACCUGAAACCGUGCGCCCACGAGCAGUCGGAGCACCUAUAUGGUGUGACGGCGUGCCUUUUGUAGAAUGAGCCAGCGAGUCGCUGGCGCGGGGCGAGGUUAACCGGAAGGGAGCCGAAGCGAAAGCGAGCCUUAACAGGGCGACUUGAGUCCCGCGCCGCGGACGCGAAGCCGGGUGAGCUAUCCGUGGGCAGGCUGAAGCGGGGGUAAGACCCCGUGGAGGGCCGAACGCACGUCGGUUGAAAACGGCGGCGAUGACCUGCGGAUAGGGGUGAAAGGCCAAUCAAACCCGGAGAUAUCUCGUUCUCCCCGAAAUAGCUUUAGGGCUAGCGUCGCGCGUUCACCGCCGGAGGUAGAGCACCGGAUGGACGAGGGGGCUUCGCCGCCUACCGAAUCCAACCGAACUCCGAAUGCCGGCGGCCCAGAGCGCGGCAGUCAGAGCAUGUGGGCUAAGCUGUGUGCUCGAGAGGGAAACAGCCCGGACCGCCCGCUAAGGUCCCCAAGUUCCAGCCGAGUGGCAAAGGAUGUGCGUCCGCCCAGACAACCAGGAUGUUGGCUUAGAAGCAGCCAUGCAUUCAAAGAGUGCGUAACAGCUCACUGGUCGAGUGGACAUGCGCCGACAAUACACGGGGCUAAGCUGGACACCGAAGCGGCGGGAUUUUAUCUAUAUAGAAUCGGUAGGGGAGCUUCCCAUGGGCGGGGAAGCCGCCGGGCGACCGGCGGUGGAGCGCAUGGGAGUGAGAAUGCUGGCAUGAGUAGCGAGAGACGAGAGAGUAACUCGUCCGCCGUGAACCCGAGGUUUCCUGGGCAAGGCUAAUCCUCCCAGGGUCAGUCGGGGGCUAAGGCGAGGCCGGGAGGCGUAGCCGACGCGCAGCAGGCAGACAUUCCUGCACCGCGCACGCGGCGCUACGACCGACGGGGCGACGGAUGGGGGUGGCUCGGCGGGGUUCUGGACGUCCCCGUGAUGGAGCGCGGCCCGCGGACCAGGGAAAUCCGGUCCGCACGAGGGCGAGGCUCCGGACGAAGCGAUCGAGCGAAGCGAGUGAGCCCGAGGUCCCUAGAAAAACCCCUAGGCAGGCGCGUGCGCGCCCGUACCGCAAACCGACACAGGUGGGUGGGUAGAACAUACCGAGGCGAUCGGGUCAACCAUGGUCAAGGAACUCGGCACAAUGGCCCCGUAACUUCGGGAGAAGGGGUGCCCGCGCGUACGUGAACGGACUUGCUCCGGGAGCGGAGGCGGGCCGCAGUGGAGAGGCCCAAGCGACUGUUUACCAAAAACACAGGACUCUGCAGAAGCCGCAAGGCGACGUAUAGGGUCUGACGCCUGCCCGGUGCCGGAAGGUCACGCGGAGGAGUUAGCGCAUCGCGCGAAGCCCCGAAGCCAAGCCCCGGUAAACGGCGGCCGUAACUAUAACGGUCCUAAGGUAGCGAAAUUCCUUGUCGGGUAAGUUCCGACCUGC